rnacentral:rRNA from 1 species
GUGCCAGCCGCCGCGGUAAUACGAAGGGUGCAAGCGUUACUCGGAAUUACUGGGCGUAAAGCGUGCGUAGGCGGUUUGUUAAGUCUGUCGUGAAAGCCCCGGGCUCAACCUGGGAAUGGCGAUGGAUACUGGCGAGCUAGAGUACGGUAGAGGAGAGUGGAAUUCCCGGUGUAGCAGUGAAAUGCGUAGAGAUCGGGAGGAACAUCAGUUGCGAAGGCGGCUCUCUGGACCAGUACUGACGCUGAGGCACGAAAGCGUGGGGAGCAAACAGGAUUAGAUACCCUGGUAGUCC